ACCUCUCAGCUGGACAGUCAGGGACGUUUACAGCACACACUGACAACAUGCUGUGGACUCUGCUCACUCUCAUCACUGCUCUAACAUAUGUUGAUGCAGUGAUCAUGCUGACCCAGACGCCUGCUGUCCUCACAGUUUCUACAGGACAAGAGGUCGUUCUCAAAUGUAACAUCCAGAGAAAAGAUGGAUUUUAUGUUAGUUGGUAUAAACGGGCUCAUGGUGAAGUUCCUCAAUACUCUUUGAGACUUUUCCAGUCUCACAGUUCACCUGAUAAUUUUGCAUCAGGAUUCUCCUCAGACUGAUUCAACUCUAAAUCCUCAUCAAGCAUAGAUUAUCAGUUCAUCAUAAAGAGAGCAGAGACAGGAGACACUGCUCAGUAUUUCUGUCUGACAUGGGAUAACUGUGCCAAGGAGUAUGUAUCACACUGAUUCACACCAUGACAAAAACCUCAAUGAAAGCUUCACUCCAGCAACUUUAAAUUUACUGACAUUGUGCCAGGAAUAACUUGACCAAAACAAGAAAGGACAGAGGUGAAAGUCCUCUACAGAGUGAGAAUAGUUGGAUCAGAGUCCAGCAGUGUUUAGUAAUGUGAGCAGACUGAUGAAAGAAUGAGAUGUUGAGAGUGAAAGUUGGGGUGAACAGGAUGUUUGAGUUCCUCUCCUCUCAUAUGUGACAGUCAGGAGGUUUUUGUACGGCCAUGAGUCCAAACUGAAUCACUGUGGUAUUCGGACAAGGAACCAAGCUGAUUGUGACAAGUAAGUGCUUUAAAACUCAUCAUUCAACAAGACUCAGGAUUUAUUUUUUUAAUCAAAUUAAAGAUAUUUGUCAAAUAUUUUGUUUAUGUCAUUAAGAAACAUUUUAAUGUUUUUAAAUCAUUGUAUAUUUUAGCCUAUUUUGAUCCCUGCCUUUGAUUUAUAAUGUGAAAAAAAAUCCAAAAUAUGUCAACAUUUUUGAAUAUAUUCUAUUUCAGAUAAAUUUAUCUGAUGUGUGAAUUUUUGUUAGAAAUAUGUCUUGUUUUAUACGUUUUUUGACUCUGCUGAAUUAUCUCUAAAAGUUAUCAACUAAAUUUUUUUGAUGACUUAUGCCCAUUUUUUAUUGUGAGAUUGUUGUUGAAUUAUUUAAACAGCAUUUUUCAUGGAGUGAUGUUUCAGACAUUUAAAGUUUCCUGAUUGUUGAAUGAGCCAGAUUUUAAGGAAUUAUUUCUCUAUAAUGUUUCAUAUCAUAAUAAAUCCUAAAUAUUUUUGUUUGUUUGACUGAGAGAAUUCAAAGUCAAUGAAUGAAUAAAUGAGUUGAUUGCCUCUGUCGUCCUCUGUGUGACUGACUUGACUUGUGCUUGAGUGUUGAAUAUCCUCUGUGUGUCUCUCAGGCUCCAGCCAGGCUCCAGGUUCACAUGCUGCUAAAGAUGAGUCUGCAUGCUUGGAAUAAAUGUUGUGACAGUUAGGUGGAGGUGUUGGAUCGGCUUUGCAAA